UGGGGAAUUUUGCGCAAUGGGGGAAACCCUGACGCAGCAACGCCGCGUGAAGGAUGAAGGUCUUUGGAUUGUAAACUUCUUUCGUCCGGGAAGAUAAUGACGGUACCGGAAUAAGAAGCCCCGGCUAACUUCGUGCCAGCAGCCGCGGUAAUACGAAGGGGGCGAGCGUUGUUCGGAAUUAUUGGGCGUAAAGGGAGCGUAGGCGGUUCGAUAAGUCACUUGUGAAAUCUCUGGGCUCAACCCAGAGUCUGCAAGCGAAACUGUCGGGCUUGAGUAUGGGAGAGGUGAGUGGAAUUCCUGGUGUAGCGGUGAAAUGCGUAGAUAUCAGGAGGAACACCUGUGGCGAAAGCGGCUCACUGGACCAUUACUGACGCUGAGGCUCGAAAGCUAGGGGAGCAAACAGGAUUAGAUACCCCCGUAGUCC
rnacentral:rRNA from 1 species